rnacentral:rRNA from 1 species
AUUGAACGCUGGCGGAAUGCUUUACACAUGCAAGUCGAGCGGCAGCGCGGGGGCAACCCUGGCGGCGAGCGGCGAACGGGUGAGUAACACAUCGGAACGUACCCAGUUGUGGGGGAUAGCCCGGCGAAAGCCGGAUUAAUACCGCAUACGACCUGAGGGUGAAAGGGGGGGAUCGCAAGACCUCUCGCAGUUGGAGCGGCCGAUGGCGGAUUAGCUAGUUGGUGAGGUAAAGGCUCACCAAGGCGACGAUCCGUAGCUGGUCUGAGAGGACGACCAGCCACACUGGAACUGAGACACGGUCCAGACUCCUACGGGAGGCAGCAGUGGGGAAUUUUGGACAAUGGGGGCAACCCUGAUCCAGCCGUUCCGCGUGAGUGAAGAAGGCCUUCGGGUUGUAAAGCUCUUUCGGCAGGAACGAAACGGUGUGGGCUAAUAUCCCAUAUCAAUGACGGUACCUGAAGAAGAAGCACCGGCUAACUACGUGCCAGCCGCCGCCGUAAAAC